UACGUAGGGAGCAAGCGUUGUUCGGAUUUACUGGGCGUAAAGGGCGCGUAGGCGGCAGAUUAAGUCAGUUGUGAAAUCUCCGAGCUUAACUCGGAAAGGUCAACUGAUACUGUGCGGCUAGAGUGCGGAAGGGGCAACUGGAAUUCUUGGUGUAGCGGUGAAAUGCGUAGAUAUCAAGAGGAACACCUGCGGCGAAGGCGGGUUGCUGGGCCGACACUGACGCUGAGGCGCGAAAGCCAGGGGAGCGAACGGG
rnacentral:rRNA from 1 species